GGUUUGAUUCUGGCUCAGUUGAACGCUGGCGGGAUGCUUUACAUGCAAGUCGGGCAGCGGCACGGACUUUCGGUCCUGGUGGCGAGUGGCGAACGGGUGAGUAAUGUAUCCGGAACGUGCCUGAAGCGCGGGGAUAACUACGCGGCGGCGUAGCUAAUACAUACGCCCUUCGGGAAAGCGGGGGACCUUCGGGCCUCGCACUAUUAGAGCGACCGAUAUCGGAUGGCUAGUUGGUGGGGUAACGGCUCACCAAAGGCGACGAUCAUCCAGCUGGUUUUGAAGGACGACCAGCCACCACUGCAGGACUGAGUGCAGCCAGACUCCUGCAGGAGGCAGCAGUGGGGAAUUUUGGACAGCAGGGAAACCCUGAUCCAGCCAUCCCGCGUGCGAUGAAGACGCUAAAGGUUUGUAAAGCACUUUGGCAGGAAAGAAACGGCACGGGAUAAAUACCCCGUGCAACUGACGACGUUACCUGCAGAAUAAGCACCAGCUAACUACGUGCCAGCAGCCGCGAUAAUACAUUAGAAGAUAAGCGUUAAUCGGAAUUGCACAGGCGUAAAGCGUGCAGAGCGGUUCCGGAAAGAAGAAGAUACUUGAAAUCCCAGAGCUUAACUUUGGAACUGCAUUUUAACUACCGAACUAGAGUGUGUCAGGGAAGUGGAAUUCCGCGAUGUAGCAGUGAAAUCGUAGAUAUAGGAGGAACACCGAUGGCGAAGGCAGCCUCCUGGGAUAACACUGACGCUCAUGCACGAAAGCGUGGGGAGCAAACAGGAUUAAGAUACCCUGGUAGUCCACGCUAAACAAGAUGUCCUUCGCUGUGGGGCCUUCGGGCCUUGGUAGCACCUUCACCGCGUGAAGUUGACCGCCUGAAAUUACCGGUCCUGCUGAAUUAAACUCGGAAUUGACGGGGACACACAAGCAGUGGAUGAUGUGGAUUAAUUCGAUGCAACGCGAAAAACGCCACCUACCCUUGACAUGUCUAGAGUCCAGAAAUUGGGAGUGCUCGCAAGAGAACCGGAACACAGAUUCUUUGCAUGGCUGUCGUCAACUCGUGUCGUGAGAUGUUGGGUUAAGUCCCGCAGCGAGCGCAACCCUUGUCAUUGGAUUGCUACGAAAGGGCGCUCAUGAGACUGUCGGUGACAAACCGGAGGAAGGUGGGGAUGACGUCAGAGUCCUCUUAUGGCCCUUAUGGGUAGGGCUUCACACGUCCUUACCAAUGGUGGGACAGAGGGUCGCCAACCCGCGGGGGCCAAUCCCAGAAACCCGAUCGUAGUCCGGAUCGCAGUCUGCAACUCGACUGCGUGAAGUCCGGAAUCGCUAGUAAUCGCGGAUCAGCAUGUCGCAGUGGAAUACGUUCCCGGGUCUUGUACACCGCCCGUCACACCAUGGGAGUGGGUUUUACCCGAAGUAGUUAGCCUAACCGUAAGGAGGGCGAUUACCACGGUAGGAUUCGCGGCUAGGGUGAAGUCGUAACAAGGUAG
rnacentral:rRNA from 1 species